rnacentral:rRNA from 1 species
AUACGGAGGGUGCAAGCGUUAUUCGGAAUCACUGGGCGUAAAGGACGCGUAGGCGGGUUGGCAAGUCAGAUGUGAAAUCCUACAGCUUAACUGUAGAACUGCAUUUGAAACUGCUAACCUAGAGUAUGGGAGGGGGAGAUGGAAUUAGUGGUGUAGGGGUAAAAUCCGUAGAUAUCACUAGGAAUACCGAAAGCGAAGGCGAUCUCCUGGAACAUAACUGACGCUAAGGCGUGAAAGCGUGGGGAGCAAGCAGGAUUAGAUACCCUAGUAGUCC